GUGAGAAGAGAACAAAAAUGGUAGAAAACGCGGAGAUAACCUGUGAAAAGGGAGAAUAAAGAGGGUCGGAACACAUCCACUGGAGGCACGGAGCCGUGUGACUGAACAAAGGAGAAACGUUACGUUGGCUAAUCGUUUACCCUUCGUCUGGAGAGCUGUUACGAAGCGUGAUACCAGCGUGUUCCGCCUUGAUAUUCACAGAGCAACGGUCAGGUUUUUUUAGUUGACAGCAAUUCAACUGUGGUCCAGGACAACCUUCUGGCUGAAACCGAUGGCGAGCCAAGUUCCCUGAAGAAAGUCAAGCACCAGGAUAUACACGUACCCAUUCAUACUCUCAUUGAACAGUUAGAUUACAAUACAAGGAACCUUGGAAUUUGAAUUGAACUGCGGUAACUCUGAAA